GCAAGACCUCGCGCGAUUGGAGCGGCCGAUAUCAGAUUAGGUAGUUGGGUGAGGUAAAGGCUCACCAAGCCGACGAUCUGUAGCUGGUCUGAGAGGACGACCAGCCACACUGGGACUGAGACACGGCCCCAGACUCCUACGGGAGGCAGCAGUGGGGAAUUUUGGACAAUGGGCGCAAGCCUGAUCCAGCAAUGCCGCGUGCAGGAUGAAGGCCUUCGGGUUGUAAACUGCUUUUGUACGGAACGAAACGGUGAGCUCUAAUACAGUUUGCUAAUGACGGUACCGUAAGAAUAAGCACCGGCUAACUACGUG
rnacentral:rRNA from 1 species